rnacentral:rRNA from 1 species
AUGCAAGUCGAGCGGGCGUAGCAAUACGUCAGCGGCAGACGGGUGAGUAACGCGUGGGAACGUACCUUUUGGUUCGGAACAACACAGGGAAACUUGUGCUAAUACCGGAUAAGCCCUUACGGGGAAAGAUUUAUCGCCGAAAGAUCGGCCCGCGUCUGAUUAGCUAGUUGGUAGGGUAAUGGCCUACCAAGGCGACGAUCAGUAGCUGGUCUGAGAGGAUGAUCAGCCACAUUGGGACUGAGACACGGCCCAAACUCCUACGGGAGGCAGCAGUGGGGAAUAUUGGACAAUGGGGGCAACCCUGAUCCAGCCAUGCCGCGUGAGUGAUGAAGGCCCUAGGGUUGUAAAGCUCUUUUGUGCGGGAAGAUAAUGACGGUACCGCAAGAAUAAGCCCCGGCUAACUUCGUGCCAGCAGCCGCGGUAAUACGAAGGGGGCUAGCGUUGCUCGGAAUCACUGGGCGUAAAGGGUGCGUAGGCGGGUCUUUAAGUCAGGGGUGAAAUCCUGGAGCUCAACUCCAGAACUGCCUUUGAUACUGAAGAUCUUGAGUUCGGGAGAGGUGAGUGGAACUGCGAGUGUAGAGGUGAAAUUCGUAGAUAUUCGCAAGAACACCAGUGGCGAAGGC